UGUUUAGCUAUCACUAAAUAUGGAAUCACUGGAAAAUUAUAAAGUUCUUAAUUCCGUUUUUCUGGCCGGUUUUAUCAUAUUGUGGAUUCAUUGGAUAUGGACGCGAAGAAACAUAUAUAAAUACGGUUUAAGUUUCCCGGUAUUAUAUGGUUUUCCUGUAAUUGGUUCCUUAUACGGAAUGCGGAGCUUGGACAAUUUAACAUCAAGACUUAAUUAUAUUUUUAAAUAUUGUAAAAGUUAUACUGUUUGUUUGUGGAUUGGAUGGUUUCCAAUCAUACUGACUGCAGAUGCGGAGAUUAUUACAAAUGUUUUGGGGUCUCCAGAGCUUCUUAACAAAUCCGAAAGUAUUUAUCAUUCUAUUCGAUGUUCCUUUAAAGGCGGUCUUGUUGCUAGUAGAGGUACUACUAUUGUAAAGUAUUUUAAAAUGUUAAAAGUUAUUUUUUUCCAAAGUUGAUAAAUGGUCGAAGAAUCGCAAACUGAUAAAUCCUGCCUUUGCAAAUAAAGUGCUUCUGAGUUUCUUUCCAAUUUUUAAUAAAGCUAAGAAUAAUAUAAUUGAAAAGUGUAGCGAACUGGUAGACAAUAAGGAACAUAAUUUACUGAAUGCUAUACAAACAAUGACUUUAACAUUAACUGCAGAAACAACUAUGGGCAAGUACAUGCACAAAGGUAACCAGAUUUCGAAUGAUGUGGCCAAACAUUAUUGUGUCAUACUGGAAUAUACAAUAAUUCAUACGAUACUUUCGUUUAUGAAACUCGGUUUCAUAAUGGAGUUGUUUUCGAAAUUUAGAAACGCUAAGAAAUUUUCAUACCAGUUCGUC